rnacentral:rRNA from 1 species
CCUACGGGUGGCUGCAGUGGGGAAUAUUGGACAAUGGGCGAAAGCCUGAUCCAGCCAUGCCGCGUGUGUGAAGAAGGCCUUCGGGUUGUAAAGCACUUUCAGUGGGGAAGAAAGCCUUGGGGCUAAUACCCUCGAGGAAGGACAUCACCCACAGAAGAAGCAUCGGCUAACUCCGUGCCAGCAGCCGCGGUAAUACGGAGGGUGCGAGCGUUAAUCGGAAUUACUGGGCGUAAAGCGCGCGUAGGCGGUCUGAUAAGCCGGUUGUGAAAGCCCCGGGCUCAACCUGGGAACGGCAUCCGGAACUGUCAGGCUAGAGUGCAGGAGAGGAAGGUAGAAUUCCCGGUGUAGCGGUGAAAUGCGUAGAGAUCGGGAGGAAUACCAGUGGCGAAGGCGGCCUUCUGGACUGACACUGACGCUGAGGUGCGAAAGCGUGGGUAGCAAACAGGAUUAGAUACCCGAGUAGUC